GUACACUCCUACGGGAGGCAGCAGUGGGGAAUUUUGGACAAUGGGCGAAAGCCUGAUCCAGCAAUGCCGCGUGCAGGAUGAAGGCCUUCGGGUUGUAAACUGCUUUUGUACGGAACGAAAAAGCUCCUUCUAAUACAGGGGGCCCAUGACGGUACCGUAAGAAUAAGCACCGGCUAACUACGUGCCAGCAGCCGCGGUAAUACGUAGGGUGCGAGCGUUAAUCGGAAUUACUGGGCGUAAAGCGUGCGCAGGCGGUUAUGUAAGACAGAUGUGAAAUCCCCGGGCUCAACCUGGGAACUGCAUUUGGGACUGCAUGGCUAGAGUACGGUAGAGGGGGAUGGAAUUCCGCGUGUAGCAGUGAAAUGCGUAGAUAUGCGGAGGAACACCGAUGGCGAAGGCAAUCCCCUGGACCUGUACUGACGCUCAUGCACGAAAGCGUGGGGAGCAAACAGGAUUAGAAACCCCUGUAGUCCCAUG
rnacentral:rRNA from 1 species